rnacentral:snRNA from 1 species
GUGCUCGUUUCGGCAGCACAUAUACUAAAAAUUGGAACGAUACAGAGAAAGAUUAGCAUGGCCCCUGCGCAAAGGAUGACACGCAAAUUUGUGAAGCGUUCCAUAAAAAA